GCCAAAGCCUUCUCCGCUGCUCUGAUGCCCCAAACUUCCCUGCCUGGGAAUUGGAUCUGGGGUAAUGAGUGACCCAGCAGGCAGAGAUGACAGAUUCCUGCCUAAUGUAGCAAUGCUGGGACAACCUGGAGUAUCUGGUGUGGCGGGCAGGCACAGGCAGGAUGGGAGAGGCAGCCGAAGAAGGCAGGAGGGUCAGAGUUGGGGAGGACACGUGAGGACAGAAACAGGCUGGAGCGACGGGCUUUGAAGACGAGGAAGAGGCCACAAGCCAAGGAAUAUGGGCAGCCCCUAGAAGCUGGGAAAGAAAAGGAAAUGGCUUCUCCUCUAGAGCCUCCAGAAGGAACACGGCCAAGCCAGCACCUUGAUUUUAGCCUUGUGAGACCCACUUUGCACUUCUGGCCUCCAGAAAUGGAAGAUCAUGCAUUCAUGUUGUUUUAAGCUACUGGAUUUGUGGUGAUUUGUUACAACAGGAGAUUAAUACAAUCAUGAAAAGGAGAACCCGAGGAACUUUCAUAAGGACAAGGAGUUGACAGUGAGUUCCUGGGCACUGCAGGCAGGUGACUGGGAAGCCUGGUGCUGCCCUGGCCCUGCCCUCAGUGACUGCUGCUCUCUGGCUGUGUGCUCUUUGCCACAGAUGGAGGCCAGCAGGGGGCACUGAGCCAGCAGGGCUGCCUUUAAACAAUCAAACACACAUCAAUACAAAGGCU
rnacentral:lncRNA from 1 species